AAUAACUUCGGGAAACCGAGGCUAAUACCGCAUAAUACCCACGGGUCAAAGGAGCAAUUCGCUUGAGGAGGAGGUCGCGGCCCGAUUAGUUAGUUGGCGGGGUAAUGGCCCCACCAAGACGGUGAUCGGUAUCCGGCCUGAGAGGGCGCACGGACACACUGGAACUGAAACACGGUCCAGACUCCUACGGGAGGCAGCAGUGGGGAAUUUUGCGCAAUGGGGGAAACCCUGACGCAGCAACGCCGCGUGGAGGAUGAAGUCUCUUGGGACGUAAACUCCUUUCGAUCGGGACGAUUAUGACGGUACCGGAAGAAGAAGCCCCGGCUAACUUCGUG
rnacentral:rRNA from 1 species